AUUGAACGCUGGCGGCAGGCCUAACACAUGCAAGUCGAACGAGUGGCGGACGGGUGAGGAAUUUCUGGGAAACUGCCCGAUGGAGGGGGAUAACCAAUGGAAACGGUAGCUAAUACCGCAUACCCUCGGAUGUGCCCAGAUGGGAUUAGCUGGUAGGUGAGGUAACGGGUCACCUAGGCGACGAUCCCUAGCUGGUCUGAGAGGAUGACCAGCCACACUGGAACUGAGACACGGUCCAGACUCCUACGGGAGGCAGCAGUGGGGAAUAUUGGACAAUGGGGGGAAGCCUGAUGCAGCCAUGCCGGGUGUAUGAAGAAGGCCUUCGGGUUGUAAAGUACUUUCAGCGGGGAGGCGUUACCCGCAGAAGAAGCACCGGCUAACUCCGUGCCAGCAGCCGCGGUAAUAC
rnacentral:rRNA from 1 species